rnacentral:lncRNA from 1 species
UUUUUUUGGGGGGGGGGGUAUUACAUACUCUCCCCCUUAAAAAAAAUUUCGUCCUCGAAAUUAACUUACUUGAAGCCUCCAACUUUAAAAAUAUGCAUCCGUUAUAUCAUCCCCGAGAUCUCAAGUAGUCUCCCUCUCGGAGUACCUACUCACAAGAUUUUGACAUACAAAAAUCACAACAUCUCAAAACUUAAUCCUUUCUAUUUACCACACGUAGUAAGUUCUUUUGGUAUCCUUCAAAAGAAUUCCAAACUCCCAAUCUUGGAUUAAAAUGCCAUAAUUAUAUCCCAAAGAAAUUAAUUUCUCUUGAUUCUACAUAGAGAUCAUAAU